UAUUUCAUUAAACUAAGUCGUGUUGAUGAUGUUUGUGGUCACAUAAAAAAUCGUACUACACUUAAAAACGACGUGUUCGUCCACGAACAGUGUAGUUCUUGAAUGCUGCCCGCUCCAUGAUAUGCCAGUUUGCGCCUUCAGGAAGCGCUUCAGCGGUGAAUAUUUUUCAGCAGCGGACCCUAACGGCAUCGCUGAACAGAGCCUGGCUUUGGUUUAGCUUGUAAGACGAUGUUUUUUUUUUUUAGCUAUUAAUUGCUAGACUGCUAAAUGUUUCCGGUGAAUAACGUGGACGAGGAUCCAUUGUUGGUCACAUUAACUUGCUACUAUCGCACGCGCCGUGUGUAACCAAGGAAACCAUUCUGCUGAUGGCAAAUAAACAAAUGAAUUAAUAAAAUUAAGUAAUUUAGUGAAGUGAGUCAUCAAGCUGGGGACUGCAGGCCCAGACGCACUCGGCUCUUGCAAGAGAGGUGCUAAAUUUCCUGUCCACCUCUCCAAUCACAGGCUCAUGCCAUAGCUGUGAGUCAUGGCCUAGAGGAGCUGGAGGGGGCUCAGAUCUCCCACAGCCUGGCCCUCAUCCUUUCUGUUGCAGCAGAACCCCAUCACAAUGUGCCUGAAAUCCAGAGAUCCUUGUAUGGGCGUCAGCACAAGAAGACCAAAGCAGUAAAAAAAAAAGCUGUGGACAUGCUGGCUAGGGCACCAGAGGUGGCUGAGAAGAAAGGUAAAAGGAAAACGACCUCUAAUCUUUCCACUUGUACCAUCCAGUGGUAAUAAUUAAAACUUCAUAACUGAACACACUUGUUUUGUUUGUUUUCAGUGUGGUUUAAAGUUUAAGCCAACGGUUGAUAUUCCGUCAUGAUGGUUUUUGUAACUAAAUGGUUUUUGUCAUCUGGCAGUACUUGAUUUUUUGUCAAUUUGCACUUUAGGUGAAGAAAGUAAAGUCUAAAUAAAUACUCAAACAAAACAUACACAUAAUAUUUUUUAAUGAUGUUAUAAUAUUGGGGCAAUUUUCAUCUAAGGACUGGAAUUAGUACCAAUAUAAGCAAUGGUCUCAAAAGAAUUCAGAAUAAAUCAAUGAUUUCAGUCUCUCCAUUUGACCUUUAUUAAACACUGUAUUAGUCACUCAUUCACUAAUGAGAUAAUAACCGCAUAAAGAUUAAUAACAAACACUUUAGGUGCACUGAUAUAGGAGUGUUUGAGUUUAAAGAGUAAAUCACAACAAAUCAUGAAAUGAAGGGUUCUUUUUGUAGAUUGCUAAUUUAUUUUAUUUGUAAAAGCAUGGCAUUCAUGCCAGAUGUUGUAUUUUUGGAUUGCUUUACCAUCAUACCAGAAAGUUGACUUGCAAAGACUUUUCAGUAGUUAGAAGUAAAUUAUACAGCCGCUGUUAGAGAAAAUAAGCAAAAAAAAAUAACCAGACGGUACACAUGCUAUUUCAUUUCUGUCUCUGUAACGCAUACACAACACAACAAACUCUAGUCAACACUCAAUGCUAAGCUGAUGAUCCAAAAAUAGGUGCGGUUAUAAACACACUCGUAGGUCAGAGCAAAGUUGAAUCCUUCAAGCCAACACUGAAAGCCAACAGCUGUGGACAAGCCAUAAGUGCUAUACAUGACAAAGAUCAAACCUAUGUGUGAUUACUUUUUCAUCACUGCAACAUCCUUUUAAUGCAAAACACCUCUGCUGCUACUUUAAUCGUUUUAUCUGGAUAUUGUUUUCAACUUGACAGCCAUGUUUGGAAUUCUAAAUGGGACCAUUUAGAAUUCCAAAUGCAGUGUUACCCCCAAUUAUAUGCUCAAAACAAAAUCUUAACUGUUUGCAAUUUACAAAUGUUUGGCACAUGUUAAUAAAAUAGACUUUUUGUUUUAUUUUUUAAAAACAUGCUUCUCCUUUGGGGGCUGCUGGAGCCUAUCAUUUACACCUAUGGGCAAUUUAGAAUCAUCAGUUAACCUAACCAACUCCACAUAGACAGUCCCCAGCCAGACAAUGGAGUUGAAAUCUGGACCUUCUUGCUGUGAGGCAACAGUGCUAACCACUGCGCCGUCCCUAGAAACCCCAAGAAAUCACUUUUAAGCUUCACAAGAGCUUUGUUAAGACAAAUUCUAAAGCAAAUAGAUCUUUUUUUUUUUUUUUUUAACUCUCAUGAUAUUAUCCUCAGUCACAAGGUCAACAGUCUUGAACACAUGUUAGCAAUGACUUGUUAAUAUAAACCACUGUGUUCCAACAUGUGCUGUGUACUAACAUCAUUCCAUUUUCUAGAGGUGCUCAAAACAUAAAAAAUUAAAGCCCUAUUCUGCAAACAGUGCACAGCACCUUGUAACCCGGAGAGCAAUAAAUGCUGACCAAGGAGACUUAACAUCAUGGCAAGUACAGCCACGACAUGAUGGUUGGGUGGAUUAUAUGCUGUAAACUGUAGAAUGAGCUGUUUAAGCUGUUAAGUGUAGGUUAGUACAAAAUGAAGCACUAUAAAGAGAAUAAUCAAGGAUAUUCAAACUGCACCUUAUGAAAAGCCAAACAUACUAGUACAGCACACAGCAUUGCCUACCAUUAAAUAUGGCUACAAUAUGUAGAUGUUUCAGUCCUUACACAAUCUAGCCCACAGUAGUUAGUAUGGAGUAUUUCAGUAAUGGGAUCUCUGCAGUCAAUGGCAAAAAGAAAAAUUCAUAUAUGAAAAUCAGAUACUUUUAACUAAAUAGCUAGUACUCUGUUUUAGGUAAUCUAGUUUUAUGGAUUAUAAGUACGCUUGUUUACUUGAAAAAUAGCAUGAAUACAGUUCCUGCAAUCACCAUUAGUAUAUGCUUUGUAUGUUUAAGUAAACAUACCGUAAUGCACUGGCAAUUAUUCAAUUUGAAAAAAAGAAUCAGAUUUAGUUCUUAGUCAUUAGAAGGGCUUUCAAGGUAAACUGUUGCGAUUCUUUUCUCCUGUGAAAUCUUCACUGGCAUCUCCAGGACUGGAGGCUGCAGCUCUUCCUCUGAGGCAGCCUCGUCAUGGCCACCGUGUACAUCCAUCUGGAAGGAAAAUGACUUGUCUGAUGGCCCCAGUUUAAAAUGUUUCUCACUGAUUUCAGAUGCAGAUUCUCCUUUGUCGCUGAAGUCGCCAUACUCCACGCUAUGAGCAACAUUAUCUUCUCUGGAAACUCUAAUGCUGUAUCCUCCUCCCGCCCCACUCUGGAAGGCUUUCUCGAUCCCUAUGUUAGAAGACUUGAGCGCUGCCAUGAUCUGAUCUUCAGAUAGGUCAUCUCCUUCCAGCAGCCCAGAUUCUUCCAGGGUUUGAGAAACAUUUAGCUCUGCGACUAUAGUCAUGGUUCCAUUGUCAGUGGACUGUUCCACUCUUUUGACACCGACGGCUACAUUCUCUGGACUUUCACUACUCACUCUGGUGAGGAAAGCUAACUCCUCUUUCAGUGGUCCCGACACUGAACUUUGUAGCUUCUCAAGAGCUCCUUUAAGCUGCUCUUUGGGCUCCAAAGAGUCUUCUCUCAGGUACUCAAGCACUGACUCUUGCACUACAGGUGAGACCCGAACCUCUUCUUCUAUUAUGCACUCUGGAAAACUCUCUUUGGCAAACAACCGGUCACCUGACAUAAACUCAUAUUCAUCACUUUCUUUUACAGUCACUUUUUUCUGGGGAAGGCCAUCAUCUUGAUAAUACCUCUCAUCCGACAGGUCAUCUACAAUUCCAUAAUGGCCAUAUGAGGUUAUCCCGCCACCCUCCUCAGAUUCAGAAAGAUUUUCAUCUGGUGUGGAGACAAAAUACUCAUGAGACUCUUGAUCAUGGGAGAAAUGUGGAUAUUCACUCUCUCUAGAGACCUCUUGGACUUGUACAGAUCCAAACUUUGACUCAUCUGUGUUGGAUUUCAUGACAUUAUCAUCCCCCCUGCUACCUUGAAUGCCAUGAGGGAUAUUUUCUGGCUCCUCAACUUCGAAAUAUGCAGAAGGCUCAUGAAAAGUCAACCCGGACUUCUGCUCAGCCUCAAGUUCUUCAUCACUGUAAGACUCCACUGGUUCCUCGAUGAUUUCCACAUUGACUGACUUAUUUUGUAAGUCCUCUCCUCCUUGCAAGCCACUCAGCAGGUUCUUGACCAUGCUUCCUGUUGCUGUGUCCUUGAUGUCCUCUAGUGACACUUUCUUCACACCUUGUUUCAACAGUUCUUCCAGGGCAUUGUCCUGAGAAACAUCCAGCUCUUCCUCCACUUUGGACUCCAGCACGAUUUGUGUUUUAGUCGUGCCAUCCUCCUGCUCAGUUUUCUCCACGUGAUAUCUGACUUUUGAAUCUCCUGCUGAACAGACCUUGGCUUCCAAACCUGCUGGUUUUAUCACUUUCUCAAUUAUUUCUUCUACAGACACAGAGUCUAAUAUCUUUUUCUCAGCUGGGCCUAUUGUAAACUCUGUUCUUCCUUUGUCUUUGACCUUGCCGUCGACAACGGGGCCUUUUUCUUUUUCAUCUGACACAUACUUCUUGCUUUCUGUCUCGGUUUCCGUAACUAGGCUCUUCAUUGAUGGUGACACCACUCUUACUGAUUUGGUAUCAGGAGUAGAAGACUUGUCAGGACUCAUCUGGCCCUCUGUAUGUGGGAGCCAGAUGAGUUUCACAGUUUGCUCUUCUGCUGUUCUUUUUGGUACACUCCGACUGACUUGGUUUUCACUAUGGCCUGCUUGCUUAUCUUUGGUUGUCGUACUGGUGGUGGUAAUGGUAGUAGCAGAGGCAGAAGCAGCUGCCCGAGCUUUGUUAAAUGAGAUCAUAUCCCUUCUGGAUGCCGGACUCUGAUGGCGAGCUCUUCCUGUAACUGAAAUAGGGAUGACCCUAGACGGACUUAUGGACCCAGAGGAAGGGAUGGGGGCUCUUCUCAGGCUUGAAGUCGAUGGCAUGUACCUUACAUCCAUGUGCUGUUUGGUGGUUAAGGUGGAAGCUCUUGGAGUAUAGCGUCGGGCAGGCAUUUUGAUAUCUGAGUCAAAAGUAAUUAGUAAAGAAUUAAUUAGUAAUAAUUAUUUGAUGAAUUGACAUUUUGUUUUCAGUUUUGCUUAAUAAAUGUGCAUAUGAUUUAUCCAAGUAGAAACCAGUCUUGCAGUGUUUUCCCAUCAUUAUCACAUCAAUAAAAAUAACUGAGAAACAUACCUAUUAUUCUUUCUCUUUGAUGUUGAUUCACUCGCUUAUGAGCAUCUUGCAGACUGAUUUGCUCACCCUCCAGAAGAGCCCUAAACAGAGACAAGGCAAAUUACAUAUGAAGACAGGGGCAAAAAGGUCCUAACUCAAGUUAAUUUCUCAAAUAUUUUCAAAACAUCAAAGACAAGUACCUCAUGGGAUCGUGUACAUCCUUCAGCUCUGCCAUUUCAACCCUCUCAAACUAAACACAACUGGCUUACGAGAAGGCAUGAAUGCUGUACCUGACCAUAUAGGGUAGUAGUCUUAAAAAUUCAAAUAAGCCACCGUCAUUUAAUAUCGAUGCAUUACUAGUAUUUGAAACAGCUCACCUUUCCUUGGCCAUGCUUCAACAGACAUACAAUAGCAAAUGAAACGAGCAACUUCUCUGGAGAGUGCCUUCCGAAAGACUGGCCUAAAAAUAACGCCCACAAAGCAUGGCUGUCUAUGCUUCCCUGUGAAUCCCAGAGCAAAAACGGACACGUGACACAUACAAAAACAAAUGCCGCUGCCACGUCUCUAAUAAGGUAUUCUGUCUAUUCCAAAAGUUCAAAACAAACCAGUUGUGCCUGUGGAGAGCCUGCCAUAUAGAGGCAAGCUAAAGCUAAAAUGCUAAUAUCUAUCACCAUCUUUGAUAUAAGUCUGUUUAAAUGUAGGUCAAUAUGAGGCAAGAGGUUAUAAUAUGUCAAGGGUACAUUGAUAUAACAUUCCAGUACAGUGUUUACCCACUGUUUUAUAAAGAGCUUUGAGAUCUUAGCAUCUCCCUGUGUCAUGAACAUGAAGCCAACACACUGAGUGCUAUAACAAGACAAAUUAUUGCUUAUAAAAUCAGUCCUCCUUCACACAAUAUGCUCUAACAGCUUUACUUAAGAAUCAUCUAUAGUAUGUGUAGUAUUUAUGUAACCUUGUCAGACACUAAUUUUCAGUUAAGCAGCUCGGGGUUUUUUAAACUGUAUAGCAGUCUCCACUGUUGGUGCAUGGAGCCACUGCAGGUGGGGUGUGAGUGAACAAUGGAAAAAUAUGAAUCCAAGCUAUAUUAGCUUAAUAUGACUUUUUUUUGAGAUCUUAGAUUUGAGCAAUUAGUGCCAAAACCAGGAAUGAGCAAGCAAAGUAUGUCUCCUUAUGUAAAUUAUGAACUUAAUUGAGUUAAGAUUAACUUGAAGAGGUAUUUGGGCUGGUUUAAUCAGUAAUCUGAUUUCAAAACCAUAGAAAUAUCUCAGAAUAAAGAAAGCUUCUGCAUUUUAGCCAUUGUUUCUACAAUGUUUUCUACAAUUGUUUCUUAAGAAAAGAAAAAAAAUAAUGAUUCCAAACAAAUAACCAUUACUGUCUCUGUUUUCACAUGCGCUCAUUCCCCAAAGGAGUUCUUCAUGAACAACACAAAAAUCGUUCAAAAUUGUUGUAGCUUACACUUUUUAAAGUAGACUGACUGUUAGCAACACCUUUGCAAAAAGCAUCUGACAGCUUUUCCUUGUAUUAAACGCGUCUCUGAAACAUUUAAGACGCCACAUGUACUUCUUCUUUGGAAGACAUUUCCCCUCACAGUAAGGGAAGCAGUGAAACACAUACUCCUAUGUGGUUCAAGCACCCAGGUAUGGUUCAUAUCACAUAAUAAAGGCUUACUGAAGAGUUGCAUAUACAACAACACUGACUGCUGAUUGUCUCUCAUAGUGUUUUUAUUCGUGCCAUCUGUGCUUUUCAUGCUAACACAAGUAAAAAUGGCUUCUGGGAAAAGACUUAUACUUGACGUGACAUAAAAUAUCCAUUUCAUUUAUUUAGACAAAAAAAUGAACAAACUAAAUGGUUUCAUCACCUGUAAGUAGCAACCUCCAUUCCUAGAUCCAUCUUCACCUGGAGAAGCUGCUGAUGCUCUCUCAUUUUUUGUGCUAUAACAUCAGCCAUCACAUUCCUCUCAUGCUCCAGCUGUUCAAUAGUCAUCUGAUGGUAGGGGGGGGGGAAGCAAAAACAGGAAACCAUAAUUCAUCUCAAGGCAGCUUUUAGUGCUCUUAACAGAUUUGAAGUUUUUAGGCGUGUCCUCUCAAGUAGUGCUUUUGUGUAUUGUGCAUAAACCCUCUCCAGUACAUGUUAACAUUUGCCUUCCUUACAUACAGAUAAACAGAGGAAUGUAUUUGGUGUGACUUUACUGAAGACAGCCCUGCAGUGGGUGGAAAGAGAAGUGGUAUGUAACUGACUGGCCUGCUUUAGACUGCAUCUUCAGGCUAAUAAGGAUUUGUCAGUUUGACAGCUAAUUGGUUUAAGUGGCUGGUGUAAUCUAGCAGUUGGACGGUACUAGGGCGGAAGUAUAGCGUUUGUCCAGCUAAUGGAGCUAUGCUGUCCUGGUAUACUGACGUCAAAUGUUGUGCACAAUCCAUAUUUUUUAGUUAUGGGUACAUAAACUUGACAGGCCUUGCUCACUGUUGAAUAAUGACCCCUCCUUAUUUAUUGUGUAGUGUUUUGGUACAGACGCCAGAAUGGUGCAGCGUGUGUAUAUAUAUAAAUUUCACAUUAUUGGAAUGUGAAUGUAAAUGCGAAUGUAAAUUUCACAUUAUUAGAAAGAUCGAAAACAUUUGUAGCAGCCACUGUGAGCUGCAGCUGCAUGAGUACCUUUAAGGACAGUGGGUGUGGCAGGGCAGCAAGGGACAAGCCGCUCCCCCGUCUCCAAAAUUAGAGCUUAUUUUGCGGGGUUUACUGAAAGUGGUGGGUUUUUCGUUUGUUUGUUUGUUUGUUUGUUUGUUGAUAAAACGAAUCAAACAAUGCCAAAUUAAACAUUUCUUCUACUGUAGCACAAUUAAUUCGUCCUUACCUGAUACUGACUGUAGUCCACACGGAAUUUUUCCUGCAUGUGCAUCAGUUGCUCCUCAAGUCGCAUUUGAAUCUGCCCUUGUUUUUCCGCUUCCGUGCGUAAUUUGUCCAACUCGGACGCAUACAGCAUCUUUUCCCUCUGCAUGUCGUUCAGCAUUGCCUGGUCCGCUUUAAUUGACUGCUCCAUGUCUUCUACCGUCUUCUGGUACAUUUCGAAGGUCUGAAUCCAUCCUUCGGACAUACCGUGGGCAUACUCCUGCACCUCUUCCACGGAGACCACCGGAGGCCCACGAUAAGUUUGCCUGAUGAUGGGUGCCACUCGGGACUCCACCUGACUGCAAAGGUGGCUCACUUCUUCCCUGUGUGCAUCCUCUAAGCGUUUAUACUCGUUCUCUAGUUGCAGCAGCCGCUGCUGGAGUUCGCUGUUGGUUUUGUGAGCGUGAUGAAGCUCCUGCUCGCAGUUCUUUAGUUCGCCGCUGACGUCCCGGCACACAUCGGUCUGCUCGCUGCACAGACUCUGGAUAAUCUGCAACUCCCGCCAUAGCUUCUCCCUCUCCAUCUCAGCCUGGGACUUUUCAAACGACAGCUGCCCCACCAUUCUCCGCAGGUCCUGCAUCUCAGCCCUGUACUUAGUUUCCCAUCCGGUAGUCCUCACCUGUCUCAGUUUAUUUAUUUCAGCAAUGAGAUGCGCGUUUUCUUGCUCCAGCUGCUUGGUUCUGGAUAGAUACUGGGUAAGUCUGCUGUUGAGCUCCUGCAGCUGGUGCUUCUCGCUCUCAAAAGUUCUCUUGAAAGGGAGCAUUGUGGUAACUAAUUAUCUCUGUUAAGUUAGAUGGAGAAAAAUAUCCGGUGAUUUUAUUUAUUAUUUAGGAGACGGAUUCUCCCGGCAUCAAUUUGCGUCUUCGUCCGUGGGCGCGACUGUGAUGUAAUUUGUGAUCGGUGGCCUUUGACAAGUGCAGGAGGAGGAGGAGGAGGGCGGGUCCUUUGCUGCAUCAUAGCAGCGUCCCGAGCGUGUCCCUCCGUCCCUGUCCGUUGUUAUGUUGCGUUUAAGUGCUCUCUGAAAUACUAUAAUGCUAAACUCACCGCAACUAUAAAUAAAAGAAAGGACAAGCUAAAAAGAAAGGUACACGAGUUAAAAAAUGAUAAUAAUUGAGGUUUAAACACAGUAUAUUGGUUUUGGCUACAUUUACCUUUUGGCUUUUUCUCCCACAUGUAAAAGCCAGUCUACAUUUAACUGCAGCUAUAAUAUAGCUCCAUAUUAGAAUGUAUAAAUAUAUAUUAUUUAGAAUGUGUGUUACACUUAAAAUAUAUUCCCACUGAUGUCGUAAGCGUCUAGUUUGCAGAUUUGGUAAAUUUGAUUUUUCAUUUUGCUUUUUUAAUUUUAAUUGAAUCUUUUUUACCCUAAUACUUUUUAAUUCAAAAGAUUUACUCUUUCAAUGAAGUGCUUGCCUUUGUUGUUUACUUGCCAUAAUAGACCGAUAGAUUCUUCACCCUGCAUGGGAAGUUAUUGUGUUACAGCACCAGGGUAAAUAUUUAAAAAUAGAACAUCCUACAAUAAAUAAACACAAGUUAAAGUAAAUGUGCCAGAGGCAGAACAUAGUGAUGGCUUGAUUCUGUGAGAGUGCAAGAACUUUAAAUAUAUCCAACAGCGAUUUAAGGUUAAGUUGAAGGAAAGUAAAAGGUAAACUGAGAUUGUGCAAGAAAGUAGUUAAUAUUGAUAAAUACAAUGUACACACAGUGGCGCAGUGGGUAGCUCCGUUUCCUCACAGCAAGAAGGUUUUGUUCAUGUUCUCUCCAGAUUCCUCCCAUAGUCCAAAGACAUGCACUUAGUGGGGUUGGUGACUUUUGGUGAUUCUAAAUUGCCUGCAAGUGUUAUUGAGAGUACAAAUGCUAAUCUGUCUCGCUGUUUUAAGUUCAAUAUGAUUUGUGGAUGGCAUAACUUUCCUGAGACACCUGAAUGCAUCACCCUCACAAGGGCAUCACAUUUAUCAGAGAUGAGCGCCCCCAAGCGGACAGUAAACGAAUAGCGAAAGCUAAAGAAAAUCUAUCUACGUUUUAGUAUCCUUGCAUGAAAUCCCUGAACUGCCGUUACAGGCGCUGCAAUCUCGGUUGGGCUAUGAAUAAAAGCGAAACUGUGGUCGUUACAGGUAAACUGUAAAUGUUCAUGUCCUCCAUAAUCGCACCGGACCGACUUUUAUUUUGAAUUGGCAAAUUCGAUUUACUUUUAAGGUUUUGGACCUUUUCGACAGUUCUUGACCAACACCAGCUGGGAAGCCGCCAAGGGGUUGAAACUGAUCGGACUGGGGGAGAAUGUUGACGUCCAUGUGAGGGAGUUACCAGUGAGUUACUUGAAAACCCAGAAAAUUAUUGGUGAGCUCUGGUACACUCUUAACCCAAAGGUAAAAAUAAAGCGAAAUGUGACUUGUAGACUGAUCACCUUAUUAUUUUAAAACUUAAUUCUGUCAAUAGAUUUCCAAAAUGUUUAUUGUGCUUCUUACAAAUAUGAAAAAUAAAUAAUAAAGAAAUCCCAACACAUAAGACAAGGUAAAUAACUCACUCUUGUGUUUGUGUGCAUUUACUUCAGUUUGCUGUACAUCUGGGUUUGGCCAGAGGCUCCAGUGUGGUGAUUUUGGAGCAAACGGGGAAGAACACUGGCUACAGAGACCGAGAUGUCUGCGGCUACUGUCCAGAGACUCGCUGCUGCGUCGAAGGGGGGGCACAGAAGCUGGAGUCAGUCAUUAACAUGAGGGCAGUCUCAAAGCACUUCAGACAAGCAGGGAUGAAUGUAGUUUAUUCAAGAGAUGCUGGCAGGUAGGCAAGUGUUCCAGCACGAUCAAGAGUCACUCUUGAAUAUGAGAUAAUGGCUGAUUUCUUCU